rnacentral:rRNA from 1 species
GAAUCCCGUCUUUGACACGGACUACCUGUACAUUAUGGUGUGCUCUCGAAGAGUCGAGUUGUUUGGGAAUGCAGCUCAAAAUGGGUGGUAAAUGCCAUCUAAAGCUAAAUAUUGGCGAGAGACCGAUAGCGAACAAGUACCGUGAGGGAAAGAUGAAAAGGACUUUGGAAAGAGAGUUAAACAGUACGUGAAAUUGCUGAAAGGGAAACGCUUGAAGUCAGUCGCGUUGGCUGGAAAUCAGCCCUUGCUUUUGCUUGGUGUAUUUUCUGGUCGACGGGUCAGCAUCAAUUUCGACCAUUGGAUAAAGUCAUUGGGAAUGUGGCAUCUUUUGGAUGUGUUAUAGCCCAUUGUUGUAUACGGUGGUUGGGAUUGAGGAACUCAGCAUGCCCGCGAGGGCCAGGUUUCGACCAUGUUUCAUGCUUAGGAUGCUGGCAUAAUGGCUUUAAUCGACCCGUCUUGAAACACGGACCAAGGAGUCUAACAUGCCUGCGAGUGUUUGGGUGGAAAACCCAUGCGCGCAAUGAAAGUGAAAGUUGAGAUCCCUGUUAGAGGGGAGCAUUGACGCCCGGACCAGAGCUUUUGUGACGGAUCCGCGGUAGAGCAUGUAUGUUGGGACCCGAAAGAUGGUGAACUAUGCCUGAAUAGGGUGAAGCCAGAGGAAACUCUGGUGGAGGCUCGUAGCGAUUCUGACGUGCAAAUCGAUCGUCAAAUUUGGGUAUAGGGGCGAAAGACUAAUCGAACCAUCUAGUAGCUGGUUCCUGCC